rnacentral:lncRNA from 1 species
GGAGAUGUUUUGAAGAAAAAAAGUGCUGCUUACAGGAGAAGAGAGGAAAGGGCACUUGUUAAAAUAGGAAAUCAUCAUUUAUGUCUAUACAGAGAGAGGAGACUUUUUAAACCUCUGUGUGUUUCAUUGAAGCACAGAUUAAAAUUCCUAAAUAUUUUUCUAAACUUGUUCAAAAUAUGAACUUCAAUGGAAGAUAGCGGAAAGAAUCAUGACUCCAGUAAGUAGUCAGAGUGUUAUCCAAAGAGCUAAGGCUUUCGAAAGAAGGGAAAACUAACAUUGUCAUUAUCCUGAUCUGAUUUACUGAGGCAAAAUCUUGACAUAAGAGAAAAAAAAGUCUAUUUAGAUAGCUCCCUUCACAAUUCAUUGCUCAGUAAAUAAAUACACGAGUAGAAGUACAAAAACUUUCCAUUGGUUUUGACCUUGGAUGAAGUUUAAAAAGUCAGACUUCUCGUUUCCAUUCAGUCCCUUAGAAAAGUGAAUAAUGUUUUUCCUGAAAUAUGAUAGAUCAAGGUUAUGUCUUAUUGAAUGAAUGAUGAUAUUAAGCCAGCCUAUCUUUAGAAGAUGCCCAAUACUUUGUGCUUAGACUGUUUCUAAUUGAGGCAUUUUUACAUCGAAUUAUAGGUUUUAAAACCCGCAUUACAGGUCUCUCUUUUCCCCUUCUCCCUCAAUUGCAGCUCGAAAUAACCUUCAGCUACUUGGAGAUUCAUGGCGUCAUCUGCAGUAAGCCAGCUCAGAUGGUUGUGGAAAUGGAGAAAUGCAGCAUCUCCAUGAAGAUGGCAUCGCCCGAGGACGUGAGUGAGGUGCUGGCACACGUGGGCACCUGCCUGCGCAGGAUCUUCCCUGGCCUCUCGCCCGUGUGAGUUCUUGGGGCUGAGGGUGUUGCUGGACUUAGCUACAGAGAAGCGGGACCCCGAGGCUUAUUCCCGCAAGGGCAGCAGGGCACUUGUUGGACCUCAGAGUGAAAACCACACGCUUCUUGUCCGUUCCUCCUUCACCCUCCCUUCUCCCCUUAGACAUUGACCAUCAAAACCCUCCCUCAGACCUUUGCAUUGCAGGCCCGAGAUUUUCUGUAGGGCUGUGCCUUAUUCUUUAAAGAACUUGAUUGAGGAAGGCAAUCCUGUAACCUCUCCUCUGAAGACUAAAACGGAAAUCUUUUUAAUAGAUUUACCCUGGUGUGGAUUUUCCCCACACCUCUUAGCAGAAUGCCAGGGGCUGGACACUUUGGAGGGAGGCAUCAAUUGUAGCAUCAGUGAGGUGUGUGAAUGCUUUCUUUUCCUUCCUUUUUUUUUUUUUUUUCCCCUAUCUGGUAAGAGGAAACUUAACCAAAAAACAAACAAACAAACAAAACAAACCCCAACCAACCAAAACCUGAACAUUGAAAUCAGCUUCUCUCAUUUUCCUCUUACUUUUCUGAAAUACACAGGAGGGAUGUCAGUACAUGCUGUCUGAACCUGCCCUCUUUUUUUUUUUUUUGGUCAAGCAUUUUAAACCAGGAGUCUGUGCUUGGGUACCCGAGUUUGUACUUAGGCAGCGUGUGAAUUGUUGGCAAGUGAAUUGUUGGCUUCUACCUUCUUCUGAGGUAGAAGCCAAGAGAGCCUCAUGUCAGAAAUAAAAUCAUAGUUUGUAAUGAGAAUACCUCUGCUGCUGAAGAGAUGGGAAAACCUCAUUCAGAGCACAGGGACAGUUAGCUGGGCACUUUGCGUGGCAGGAGUAGGAGGGAGAUUUGGGGGACUGUUGCCCUUCAUGGAACCGGUCCCUGUGAUACUCUGCCUGUAUAUUAAGAGGCGAAAAAGCAGAGCACCUACUAGCCUUCGUGUCUUUCAAACCUUUUGCGUUUGAAUUCUCAAGCCUCCUUUAUUUGUCCCGUCAAAUGUGUUAUCUGAGCCCAUGGUGGGGACCCUGGGUGCUCAGCCCUCACCUUGCUCAGGUUGAAACUGAUCACCCAGCAAAGUCUGACGAGCAGAUACCAGGAAGCAGGCAAAUGAGGAGGGCAAAUAAACCAGGCAGCCCUCAGUUCCCCUAACCAGUUCUCGAAUCAUCUCAGGUUGCCUGGAUAUAAAGGAAAUGCUAAGUUGUGAGGACUUGAAUUUCUGGUUUUACUUAAAUAUAAUUUCCCAUUGUGGCUCAGCGGAAACAUAUCCAACUAGUAUCCACGAGGACGUGGGUUCGUUCAAUCCCUGGCCUCGCUUAGUGGGUCAGAGAUCCAGCGUUGUUGUGAGCUGUGGUGUAGGUUGCAUAUGUAACUCAGGUUCCCAGGCUAGGGGUCGAAUCGGAGCUGUAGCCACCGGCCUACGCCAGAGCCACCGCAACGCCAGAUCUGAACCACGUCUGCGACGUACACCAUAGCUCACGGCAACGCUGGAUCCUUAACCCACUGAGUGAGGCCAGGGAUCGAACCCGCAACCUUGUGGUUCCUAGUCGGAUUCGUUAACCACUGCGCCACGACAGUAUCUCCGAGGAAAGUUUAUUUUAAAAUAUAGAGAAAAUGUAAAGAUUAAAGGAGAAAAUGGAAAGUUAAAAGUCAAAUCACUGUUAGUUAGCACUGUUUUGUUAACAUUCAUCUUUGUUGUAUGAUAGUCCCUGUCCUUGGAGGCCUCACCUCUAAGACAGGAACAUUGGGAGGGUGCUGAGAGUUGUUUAAUCCACUUUCACAGAGGUGGCUGUAAUGACAGUUCCCUUCAGGAACUGUUUUGUCUGCUUUUCUAAUAUCAAGAACCCUGGCUGCUCUCCAAACCCAAACUAGAUUUUUUUUUUUUGGGGCUGUACUCACGGCAUAUAGAGGUUCCCAGGCUAGGGGUCGAAUCAGAGCUAUAGCUGCUGGCCUACGCCACAGCCAGAGCAACACCAGAUCUGCACCCUCCACUGUAGCUCAAGGCAAUGCUGGAUCCUUAACCCACUGAGUGAGGCCAGGGAUCGAACCUGCAUCCUCAUGGAUGCUGGUCAGAUUUGCUUCCACUGAGCCAUGAUGGGAACUCCUGAGAUUAAAAAAAAAAAACGGAAAAAAAAAAAA